GGCGCGACGUAGACUAUGUCGUAGAUAGGCCGGAGGUGGAAGUGCAGUAAUGUAUGGAGCUGACCGGUACUAAUCCGCCGAGGGCUUGACCUU
rnacentral:rRNA from 1 species